GCUGUGUGAUCUUCAGCAAGGGGCCUCUCUGUGACUCAGUUUUCUCACCUGCAAAAUAGAGCCAAUCCACCCUGCCUCAUUGGAAAGCAAGUGACAGAGCUACAAGAAAGCCUGGAGAUCCAACACCUAGCGAAACAGCCUUCCUUUACAUAAGGGGAAACUGAGGCUUGGAGAAACUUGAAUGAAAUAACCUCUGUCCAUAUAAAAUGUCUCGCAUAGACCUGGACCCAAAUGAGGAACCCGGGGGCUCAGAGAGGCUGGAGGAGUGGUCCAGAGUCACACAGCCAGGCCAGGGCUGAGCUGGUUCCUGCCCUGCAGGUU